rnacentral:snRNA from 1 species
AUCACUUCUCAGCCUUUUGGCUAAGGUCAAGUGUAGUAUCUGUUCUCAAUUUAAUAUCUGAUAUGUCCUGUAAUCCCAGCUACUCGGGAGGUCGAGGCAGGAGAAUCACUUGAACCCAGGAGCUGUAGGUUGCGGUAAGCCGAGAUUGCGCUGUUGCACUUCAGCCCGCCACCAUGAUGUGGAGUGCUCUUAUAUAAAAAGUGGCUGACCCC